GUUGCUUCCCGAUGCGACGUCUGGUUGAGGGUCAA
rnacentral:rRNA from 1 species